UUUACCUGGUUGAUCCUGCCAGUAGUCAUAUGCUUGUCUCAAAGAUUAAGCCAUGCAUGUCUAAGUACAGGCCGAACCAAGGCGAAACCGCGAAUGGCUCAUUAAAUCAGUUAUGGUUCAUUGGAUCUUACCUUGUUUUACUUGGAUAACUGUGGUAAUUCUAGAGCUAAUACGUGACACUCCAGCUCCGACCGCAAGGAAAGAGCGCUUUUAUUAGAUCAAAACCAAUCGGGCUUCGGUCCGUUCUCACUGUGGUGACUCUGAAUAACUUUGAGCUGAGCGCAUGGUCUUCGAACCGGCGCCGUAUCCUUCAAGUGUCUGCCUUAUCAGCUUUCGAUUGUAGGUUAUGCGCCUACAAUGGCUAUAACGGGUAACGGGGAAUCAGGGUUCGAUUCCGGAGAGGGAGCCUGAGAAACGGCUACCACAUCUAAGGAAGGCAGCAGGCACGCAAAUUACCCACUCCCGGCUCGGGGAGGUAGUGACGAAAAAUAACGAUGCGGGACUCUUCCGAGGCCUCGCAAUCGGAAUGAGCACACUUUAAAUCCUUUAACGAGGAUCUAUUGGAGGGCAAGUCUGGUGCCAGCAGCCGCGGUAAUUCCAGCUCCAAUAGCGUAUAUUAAAGUUGCUGCGGUUAAAAAGCUCGUAGUUGGAUCUCAGUUCCGGACCGACGGUUCACCGCCCGGUGCUUACUGUCGGCUUCCGAACAGCCGCACGCCGGCUCGGCCAGGGUGCUCUUCAUCGAGUGUCCUGGUUUCGGCCGGCACGUUUACUUUGAAAAAAUUAGAGUGCUCAGCGCAGGCUGCAACGCCUGAAUAAUCUGUGCAUGGAAUAAUGGAAUAGGACCUCGGUUCUAUUUUGUUGGUUUUCGGAACCCGAGGUAAUGAUUAAUAGGAACUGUCGGGGGCAUUCGUAUUGCGACGUUAGAGGUGAAAUUCUUGGAUCGUCGCAAGACGGACUACUGCGAAAGCAUUUGCCAAGAAUGUUUUCAUUAAUCAAGAACGAAAGUUAGAGGUUCGAAGGCGAUCAGAUACCGCCCUAGUUCUAACCAUAAACGAUGCCAACCAGCGAUCCGCCGGCGUUAUUCCCAUGACUCGGCGGGCAGCUUCCGGGAAACCAAAGUCUCUGGGUUCCGGGGGAAGUAUGGUUGCAAAGCUGAAACUUAAAGGAAUUGACGGAAGGGCACCACCAGGAGUGGAGCCUGCGGCUUAAUUUGACUCAACACGGGGAACCUCACCAGGCCCGGACACCGGAAGGAUUGACAGAUUGAGAGCUCUUUCUCGAUUCCGUGGGUGGUGGUGCAUGGCCGUUCUUAGUUGGUGGAGCGAUUUGUCUGGUUAAUUCCGAUAA
rnacentral:rRNA from 1 species